CAAGACGGUUGUGUGUUUUAUUGUGUUAAUAUAAAAUGUGUGUUUAGUGUAGAUUAAUUUAAGGUAUUAAACGGCAAUUAGUAUCUAAAAUGCAACGCCUUCAAGUUCGCUGAGCGGCAAAAUGAUGUGGCCAAUAAGCUGUUUGAAUCUACCGAUGCGGCCCGCGUCCAGCACUGAUAACUUUAAGGUAAUGUUCUCCAUGCCAAAUUCCUCAAGAUCCAUACAGCAGUUCUGGAGAUACCUUCUAACAAACAUCAA